AUUGAACGCUGGCGGCAGGCCUAACACAUGCAAGUCGAGCGAGCGGCGGACGGGUGAGUAAUGUCUGGGAAACUGCCUGAUGGAGGGGGAUAACUACUGGAAACGGUAGCUAAUACCGCAUACCAUCAGAUGUGCCGCGGUGGGAUUAGCUAGUAGGUGGGGUAGCGGCUCACCUAGGCGACGAUCCCGAGCUGGUCGGAGGGGAUGACCAGCGAAACUGCAACUGAGACACGGGCCAGACUCCCACGGUAGGCAGCAGUGGGGAAGAUGGCACAAUGGGCGCAAGCCUGAUGCAGCCAUGCCGCGUGUGUGAAUAAGGCCUUCGGGUUGUAAAGCACUUUCAGCGGGUAGGCGUUACCCGCAGAAGAAGCACCGGCUAACUCCGUGCCAGCAGCCGCGGUAAUAC
rnacentral:rRNA from 1 species